rnacentral:lncRNA from 10 species
CCUUAGGCCUCAACAGAGGCCGAACUCUGGCUGACGGAUGGGGAAACUGAGGCCUCAAAGGGAAAGCAACUUGCUCAAGUUCACUCAGCAAGUGAAUAGAGCAGGAAUCGGGGGUCUCAUCUCCCCCAGUCCCCUUUUCUCUCCAGCAAGGAGGCUUUUCAACGAGAAUUCUGAGACAAGAGGACAGGGGAGAGGCCAAGGGGCAGCUCACAGAUUCCACCGAGGAGUCGGGAGAGGGCACAGCCGCUGGAUGGCCUCCUGGGGG